rnacentral:rRNA from 1 species
GACGAACGCUGGCGGCGUGCCUAAUACAUGCAAGUUGAGCGAUGAAGAUUGGUGCUUGCACCAAUUUGAAGAGCAGCGAACGGGUGAGUAACGCGUGGGGAAUCUGCCUUUGAGCGGGGGACAACAUUUGGAAACGAAUGCUAAUACCGCAUAACAACUUUAAACAUAAGUUUUAAGUUUGAAAGAUGCAAUUGCAUCACUCAAAGAUGAUCCCGCGUUGUAUUAGCUAGUUGGUGAGGUAAAGGCUCACCAAGGCGAUGAUACAUAGCCGACCUGAGAGGGUGAUCGGCCACAUUGGGACUGAGACACGGCCCAAACUCCUACGGGAGGCAGCAGUAGUGAAUCUUCGGCAAUGGACGAAAGUCUGACCGAGCAACGCCGCGUGAGUGAAGAAGGUUUUCGGAUCGUAAAACUCUGUUGGUAGAGAAGAACGUUGGUGAGAGUGGAAAGCUCAUCAAGUGACGGUAACUACCCAGAAAGGGACGGCUAACUACGUG